rnacentral:lncRNA from 10 species
GCCAGCUGGACAUCCUGGGUCAAGUGGGGACUUGGAGGACUUUUCUGUCUUACAAGAGGAUUGUAAAAUGCAUGAAUCAGCAGUCUGUAGCUAGGAUUGCAAAAUGCCUCAAUCAGCACUCUGUGGCUAGCUAGAGCUUUGUAAAAUUGGACCGAUCAGCACUCUGUAAAAUGGACCAAUCAGUAGGAUGUGGGCAGAGACAAAUAAGGCAAUAAAAGCUGGCCACCCCAGUGAGCAGCAGCAACCUGCUUGGACCCCCUUUCACGCUGUGGAAACUUUGUUCUUUCGCUCUUCACAAUAAAUCUUUCUGCUGCUCACUCUUUGGGUCUGUGUCAUCUUUAAGAGCUAUAACACUCACCGCGAAGGUCUGCAGCUCCAUUCUGGAAGUCAGUGAGACCACGAACCCACCAGAAGGAACAAACUCCGGACACAUCUUGGAAACUAUGAAGGGACUAUCGCCAAGUGGAUUGAUGCCAUCAAGCUACAGAUGGUCUUACAAAUGGAACACCAAAUGAGCUCUACUAACAAUUUCUACUGUGGACCACUGGACUGACCCACUGACCCUUUGGCUGGCCUAGAGAGAUCUGCUCUGUAGGACACUACCACUGCCACUGCAGGGCCCCUUCUUUGCCUCUAUCCAACAGGAAGUAGCUAGAGUGGUCAUCACCCAAUUCCCAACAGCAGUUAGGGUGUCCUGUUUAGAGGGGGGAUUGAGCGAUGAAGCCAGCCGGACUUCCUGGGUUGAGUGGGGUCUUGGAGAACUUUUCUGUCAUACAAGAGGUUUGUAAAACACACCAAUCAGUGUUCUGUGGCUAGCUAGAGGUUUGUAAAGUGCUCCAAUCAGUGCUCUGUAAAAACGCACCAAUCAGCGCUCUGUGGCUAGCUAGAGGUUUGUAAAAUAGACCAAUCAGCACUCUGUAAAAUGGACCAAUCAGCAGGAUGUGGGCAGGGACAAAUGAGGGAAUAAAAGCUGGCCACCCCAGCCAGCAGUGGUAAGCCACUCGGGUCCCCUUCCACGCUGUGGAAGCUUUGUUCUUUUGCUCUUCACAAUAAAUCUUGCUGCUGUUCUCUCUUUGGGUCUGUGCCAUCUUUAAGAGCUGUAACACUCACUGCGAAGGUCCACGGUGCAUUCUUGAAGUCAGUGAGACCGCAAACCCACCAGAAGGAACAAACUCCAGACACACUGUCAUAGCAGGCAAGGAAAAGAAGAGAGUUACUGUUUUGGCUGGGGUAAUUGAUCUUGACUACCAAGAAGAACAUGGAUGGAUACUCCACAAUGGAG